rnacentral:lncRNA from 1 species
CAAUAAUCCACUCUACAAAUAGGUUAGUUUGUGGUCUUGAUGCAAGAUACCACUACAUACUGCAAAAUGUUAGACGCGACGUCUGUUAUCUGGUGAAUAACGCGAGUGGAGAGCAUCAACAACGCUCCCGUGUCGCAAAACGGAAAGUUAUUGCGAAACGAGGAAACGAUUAUAGAAAUGCAACGCGGCAAAAGUGUAUUAUUUCUUAUUAUGUUGCGCAAAACUGUAACAGAGCAGACUCGGUUGACUGUGUGUCGUGAGUUCUAUCGUCGAGCAUUUCCCCAAGGAAAUGUACGUCUGCGAUGAGAAUAAGUCGUAAUUGUACUUCAUUUAACUCGCGAGUUGUCGAGUUGAAAGGGACGUGUAAUCGUGUUCAUCCUUCUUCACCACGUAAACUGGAAACGUUUUAAACGCGACAGUUUGUCUUGCGAGACACGAAUGGAAAAGUUGACGAUAUUGUUCGUUUAGUUUCGCCUUUGUCCGCUGUUGAUCAUUGCUCGAGCAACUGGAGGUUUAGGUUAGGUUCGAAAUGAAUGCGUGAUUUUUUUCAAAUGAACGAUAAAACGUUAAUUAAUCGUUCAUUUGCAUACGUGUUACAUAAGAUAUAUAAUAUAAAAAAUAUCCGUAAAAUUAUGGAAGAGUAAUUUCAUUUUGUUAUUUGAAAAGAAAGUUUGUUGCUAGGUGUAAUUGAACACAUACACAAACCGAUGGCAAACUAAUUAUGUAUUGUCUUCCUGGUUGUGUAACAAGAUUUUUCAGUAUUUAAUAAUUAGUAUAAUUAUAAAAGAAAAUAACAAUUGCGAAUAAUAUACAGAAGUUAAAAAAAUAGUUCGUUAUUGCUUAUAAUUUUAUUAUCACUAUAUUACGUAUCGUUAAAUUCUUUCAUAGAGAACAGAAUUUGACGAACGUGUAAAAAUGUAUAUUUAGAAAUUUCCAUUGCUAUUCCAUUCAUAUUACAAAUUACCGUGUAUUACAAAUCCGAGUAAUUAAUUCGCGGAAUUUAUUAUCCGGCAUUAAUCAAAAUCUACCGUUAUUACUUGGAAGUUGCGUGUCUGAGAGUUAGCGAGUGGCAAGGAUACGUUUAAAGAGAUAUGGCCGUCUUGUUUACGACUCCUACGAGCAUUUUGUGUUUCGAGUAACGCGCGAUAACGACGGCCGAGAAUAAAACGAAACGUUGCUCAAAUGGGGAGGAAGAGGAAAAGACUUUCUCCGAGUGAGAAGAUCCUUAUUCGCUUUCCCUGCUACCGAAGAUUCGUUGUAAGGGCAACAAUGUCGAGAGAUAAUACGCAUAAUCAUUAUACACGCAUCUUCCUCUGAAACAAGAAUAUUUUCAAAUUUUUAUUUGAGGAAAAAAUCACAAAAAAAUCAUAAGAAAUCUGAACGCAUUGUACAUACGAGUACUAAAGUAUCUCGCAUCGUUAUUGAUCGAUAUCGGCGUCCUGCACAGCCUACCUCCAGCUGCUCCAUUAUGUACAUCAAUGUUAAGGUCGUCCCAUCCCGCGUAACGAACGUAAUGGAAAUUGGUGAUCGUCAAUGUGGGUCAAGUUGAUGUCCGGUUUCGCGAAACUGGAAUACGAGCAUCAAAGCUAUAUAUCGAGAAGUAGAAUCGUGCGACGGACGUAACGAAACACCUCUCUUUCCCUUUCAAAUUAAAAAGGGAACAGAGAUCGUGGAACAAAUCACUCUCUAGCCCGACAGCGAAACGAGAAAACGAACAUUUCUCGUUGUGUUUGGUGGCGUCUUUCAACGCCAGGACAAAUCAACACGUCGGGUUACGUAACACCUAUUCGUGACCAUAUUGUGAAAAAUAUGCUCGACAGGUAUACACGCGCGUAUGGAAGACUUUCACGGAUGCUUUAUCGCGGUGAGCGGACAGUUCUCGAAAAUUGGGCGAGCCGCCAUAUUGGAUCAGUAAUCUCUCACAAUAUGGACUUUUUAUGGAAGAUUACAAAGUAACGUUUAAAGAAUUGCAACAUAGAGUUAUCGAUUAUCCAAUUAUUCGAUAAUAUUAUAUGAUAGAUACGUACUCAAUGUUUAUAUUGUUGGAACAGUAUUUAAAAACGAUUAAUUUAUCUCUUUUGUAAUGCAUUUUUCUUACGAGUCUUACAAGAAAUUCGAUCGAAACUCUUCUGAAACUCUUAAAUCACCAUUUGAUUUCUGCCGAUUUUGCUCGAUCAAAGAUAAAGGAAUAAAGGCUAAACCUCUUUGGGACCGGUCUACCGACACGGAGGUAGGAUCGAUGACGAUCGAAGGCACUUUCCAUGAAAUUCCUCGAGCCGCAAGGUUUCAUCAUCGUACAGAACGAAAGAAAUCGAAAACUGUCCACGUCGAUGCAUUCUUCCAGAUUCCGGUUCUUGGCUGUCCUUAACAUUGAACGGGCUGGUCGUGUCCGACCUUACGUCGGGAGAGGAUGUUUUGCAACUUGGAGAUUUCACUUUGAUACCCUGCAUUCUUGCCGGUCACUGGAAUCGUGCCCAUCUCUUUAAUCGGACACCCUCUAAAGAAAUGGAUUGAUAAUUAGAAAAUGGCCUUGCCUUCGUCCUCGAUAAUUGAAUGCUGGAUUUUGCAUUAUAUUCGAUAAUUAUUUUAAUCCUGCCUUUCUUCUCCAUUAUUGGAUAAUAUCACAAUAUCAUAGAGAAUGCAUUCAACGAGACAUGAUAUAAAAUAGCAAAAAGUUGUAAUAAAGCAAAUCAACCAACGCGAAGAAUCAUCCUCGAGAAAGAUAGAACUGGAAAGCCAUGAAGUUAAGAUUCCUUUCGAAAUUGGAGAAUUGGAGAAAUGAUGUUAAUUCGUUCAUUUUCUCGCGUUCCAAUUCACCGGCGGAAAAUC